UCAAAAGCCAAUGAUGCAGUGAAAAGACUAAAAUCAGAGUGUGCAGCAGUAAUGAGAAACGCUAUACCAACACAAAUGGAAGAUGCCCAAGCUGGACCUUCAACUCAACCAUCUGAUUCCAAUCCAGAUGACAACCUGUGGCACCAGCUGGACAUAGAAGUCAAGGAGAGCAAGGCCAAUUCAAAUGUCACCACCGAUGCCAUUAUCGAGGUACAAAGAUACAUCUCCGAAGAGAACACACCAAGAUCACAGGAUCCACUACAAUACUGGAAAUCGCAAAGACUAAAUUAUCCUACGUUGUACAAACUUGCAAUGACAUUUUUAUGUACGCCGUCAUCAUCAGUGCCCUGUGAAAGGGUGUUCUCAAAAGCAGGAGAAAUGGUUUGUAAGCGGCGCAAUCGCCUUGGCCCAAAGAUGUUAACGCAGCUGAUGUUUCUAAAUAAAAAUGUGUGAAAGAA